rnacentral:rRNA from 1 species
CAGUCGUACGCUUCUUUUUCCCCGGAGCUUGCUCCACCGGAAAAAGAAGAGUGGCGAACGGGUGAGUAACACGUGGGUAACCUGCCCAUCAGAAGGGGAUAACACUUGGAAACAGGUGCUAAUACCGUAUAACAAUCGAAACCGCAUGGUUUUGAUUUGAAAGGCGCUUUCGGGUGUCGCUGAUGGAUGGACCCGCGGUGCAUUAGCUAGUUGGUGAGGUAACGGCUCACCAAGGCCACGAUGCAUAGCCGACCUGAGAGGGUGAUCGGCCACAUUGGGACUGAGACACGGCCCAAACUCCUACGGGAGGCAGCAGUAGGGAAUCUUCGGCAAUGGACGAAAGUCUGACCGAGCAACGCCGCGUGAGUGAAGAAGGUUUUCGGAUCGUAAAACUCUGUUGUUAGAGAAGAACAAGGAUGAGAGUAACUGUUCAUCCCUUGACGGUAUCUAACCAGAAAGCCACGGCUAACUACGUGCCAGCAGCCGCGGUAAUACGUAGGUGGCAAGCGUUGUCCGGAUUUAUUGGGCGUAAAGCGAGCGCAGGCGGUUUCUUAAGUCUGAUGUGAAAGCCCCCGGCUCAACCGGGGAGGGUCAUUGGAAACUGGGAGACUUGAGUGCAGAAGAGGAGAGUGGAAUUCCAUGUGUAGCGGUGAAAUGCGUAGAUAUAUGGAGGAACACCAGUGGCGAAGGCGGCUCUCUGGUCUGUAACUGACGCUGAGGCUCGAAAGCGUGGGGAGCAAACAGGAUUAGAUACCCUGGUAGUCCACGCCGUAAACGAUGAGUGCUAAGUGUUGGAGGGUUUCCGCCCUUCAGUGCUGCAGCUAACGCAUUAAGCACUCCGCCUGGGGAGUACGACCGCAAGGUUGAAACUCAAAGGAAUUGACGGGGGCCCGCACAAGCGGUGGAGCAUGUGGUUUAAUUCGAAGCAACGCGAAGAACCUUACCAGGUCUUGACAUCCUUUGACCACUCUAGAGAUAGAGCUUCCCCUUCGGGGGCAAAGUGACAGGUGGUGCAUGGUUGUCGUCAGCUCGUGUCGUGAGAUGUUGGGUUAAGUCCCGCAACGAGCGCAACCCUUAUUGUUAGUUGCCAUCAUUUAGUUGGGCACUCUAGCAAGACUGCCGGUGACAAACCGGAGGAAGGUGGGGAUGACGUCAAAUCAUCAUGCCCCUUAUGACCUGGGCUACACACGUGCUACAAUGGGAAGUACAACGAGUCGCGAAGUCGCGAGGCUAAGCUAAUCUCUUAAAGCUUCUCUCAGUUCGGAUUGUAGGCUGCAACUCGCCUACAUGAAGCCGGAAUCGCUAGUAAUCGCGGAUCAGCACGCCGCGGUGAAUACGUUCCCGGGCCUUGUACACACCGCCCGUCACACCACGAGAGUUUGUAACACCCGAAGUCGGUGAGGUAACCUUUGAGCCAGCCG